rnacentral:rRNA from 1 species
CGGCCGCGGGAUUCGAUUAGAGUUUGAUCCUGGCUCAGAUUGAACGCUGGCGGAAUGCUUUACACAUGCAAGUCGAACGGCAGCACGGGUGCUUGCACCUGGUGGCGAGUGGCGAACGGGUGAGUAAUGCGUCGGGACGUACCGAGUAAUGGGGGAUAACGCAGCGAAAGUUGUGCUAAUACCGCAUACGCCCUGAGGGGGAAAGCGGGGGAUCGUAAGACCUCGCGUUAUUCGAGCGGCCGACGUCUGAUUAGCUAGUUGGUGGGGUAAAGGCCUACCAAGGCGACGAUCAGUAGCGGGUCUGAGAGGAUGAUCCGCCACACUGGGACUGAGACACGGCCCAGACUCCUACGGGAGGCAGCAGUGGGGAAUUUUGGACAAUGGGGGCAACCAUGAUCCAGCAAUGCCGCGUGAGUGAUGAAGGCCUUCGGGUUGUAAAGCUCUUUUGCCAGGGACGAUGAUGACGGUACCUGGAGAAUAAGCCCCGGCUAACUUCGUGCCAGCAGCCCCGGUCAA